rnacentral:rRNA from 1 species
GGGCAGUGGGGAGCUAUACAUGCAAGUCGAGCGGACAGAAGGGAGCUUGCUCCCGGAUGUUAGCGGCGGACGGGUGAGUAACACGUGGGUAACCUGCCUGUAAGACUGGGAUAACUCCGGGAAACCGGAGCUAAUACCGGAUAGUUCCUUGAACCGCAUGGUUCAAGGAUGAAAGACGGUUUCGGCUGUCACUUACAGAUGGACCCGCGGCGCAUUAGCUAGUUGGUGGGGUAAUGGCUCACCAAGGCGACGAUGCGUAGCCGACCUGAGAGGGUGAUCGGCCACACUGGGACUGAGACACGGCCCAGACUCCUACGGGAGGCAGCAGUAGGGAAUCUUCCGCAAUGGACGAAAGUCUGACGGAGCAACGCCGCGUGAGUGAUGAAGGUUUUCGGAUCGUAAAGCUCUGUUGUUAGGGAAGAACAAGUGCGAGAGUAACUGCUCGCACCUUGACGGUACCUAACCAGAAAGCCACGGCUAACUACGUGCCAGCAGCCGCGGUAAUACGUAGGUGGCAAGCGUUGUCCGGAAUUAUUGGGCGUAAAGGGCUCGCAGGCGGUUUCUUAAGUCUGAUGUGAAAGCCCCCGGCUCAACCGGGGAGGGUCAUUGGAAACUGGGAAACUUGAGUGCAGAAGAGGAGAGUGGAAUUCCACGUGUAGCGGUGAAAUGCGUAGAGAUGUGGAGGAACACCAGUGGCGAAGGCGACUCUCUGGUCUGUAACUGACGCUGAGGAGCGAAAGCGGACCCC